rnacentral:rRNA from 1 species
UACAGAGGGUGCAAGCGUUGUUCGGAAUUAUUGGGCGUAAAGCGCGUGUAGGCGGCUUUGCAAGUCGGGUGUGAAAGCCCUCAGCUCAACUGAGGAAGUGCGCCCGAAACUGCAGAGCUUGAGUACCGGAGAGGAUGGCGGAAUUCCCCAAGUAGAGGUGAAGUUCGUAGAUAUGGGGAGGAACACCGGUGGCGAAGGCGGCCAUCUGGACGGAUACUGACGCUGAGACGCGAAAGCGUGGGGAGCAAACAGG